rnacentral:rRNA from 1 species
GGCGUGGCUUCCGGAGCUAGCGCGUUAAGUCGACCGCCUGGGGAGUACGGCCGCAAGGUUAAAACUCAAAUGAAUUGACGGGGGCCCGCACAAGCGGUGGAGCAUGUGGUUUAAUUCGAUGCAACGCGAAGAACCUUACCUGGUCUUGACAUCCACGGAAGUUUUCAGAGAUGAGAAUGUGCCUUCGGGAACCGUGAGACAGGUGCUGCAUGGCUGUCGUCAGCUCGUGUUGUGAAAUGUUGGGUUAAGUCCCGCAACGAGCGCAACCCUUAUCCUUUGUUGCCAGCGGUCCGGCCGGGAACUCAAAGGAGACUGCCAGUGAUAAACUGGAGGAAGGUGGGGAUGACGUCAAGUCAUCAUGGCCCUUACGACCAGGGCUACACACGUGCUACAAUGGCGCAUACAAAGAGAAGCGACCUCGCGAGAGCAAGCGGACCUCAUAAAGUGCGUCGUAGUCCGGAUUGGAGUCUGCAACUCGACUCCAUGAAGUCGGAAUCGCUAGUAAUCGUGGAUCAGAAUGCCACGGUG